rnacentral:rRNA from 1 species
GAUGAACGCUGGCGGCGUGCUUAACACAUGCAAGUCGAGCGAUGAAGUUUCCUUCGGGAAACGGAUUAGCGGCGGACGGGUGAGUAACACGUGGGUAACCUGCCUCAUAGAGUGGAAUAGCCUUCCGAAAGGAAGAUUAAUACCGCAUAAUAUACCGACAGGGCAUCCUGAUGGUACCAAAGGAGUAAUCCGCUGUAAGAUGGACUCGCGUCCAAUUAGAUAGUUGGUGGGGUAACGGCCCACCAAGUCGACGAUUGGUAGCCGGACUGAGAGGUUGAACGGCCACAUUGGGACUGAGACACGGCCCAG